rnacentral:rRNA from 1 species
AUUGAACGCUGGCGGCAUGCCUUACACAUGCAAGUCGAACGGUAACAGGUCUUUCGGGAUGCUGACGAGUGGCGAACGGGUGAGUAAUACAUCGGAACGUGCCUAGUAGUGGGGGAUAACUACUCGAAAGAGUGGCUAAUACCGCAUGAGAUCUAUGGAUGAAAGCAGGGGACCUUCGGGCCUUGUGCUACUAGAGCGGCCGAUGGCAGAGUAGGUAGUUGGUGGGAUAAAAGCUUACCAAGCCUGCGAUCUGUAGCUGGUCUGAGAGGACGAUCAGCCACACUGGGACUGAGACACGGCCCAGACUCCUACGGGAGGCAGCAGUGGGGAAUUUUGGACAAUGGGGGAAACCCUGAUCCAGCAAUGCCGCGUGCAGGAUGAAGGCCUUCGGGUUGUAAACUGCUUUUGUACGGAACGAAAAGUCUUGGGUUAAUACCCUGGGAUCAUGACGGUACCGUAAGAAUAAGCACCGGCUAACUACGUGCCAGCAGCCGCAGUAA